rnacentral:rRNA from 1 species
CCUACGGGUGGCAGCAGUAGGGAAUAUUGCUCAAUGGGGGCAACCCUGAAGCAGCAACGCCGCGUGGAGGAUGAAGGUUUUCGGAUUGUAAACUCCUUUUUUUAGAGAAGAUAAUGACGGUAUCUAACGAAUAAGCACCGGCUAACUCCUUGCCAGCAGCCGCGGUAAUACGGAGGGUGCAAGCGUUACUCGGAAUCACUGGGCGUAAAGAGCGCGUAGGCGGGAUAGCAAGUCAGAUGUGAAAUCCUAUGGCUUAACCAUAGAACUGCAUUUGAAACUGUUAUUCUAGAGUAUGGGAGAGGUAGGUGGAAUGCUUGGUGUAGGGGUAAAAUGCGUAGAGAUCAAGAGGAAUACUCAUUGCGAAGGCGACCUGCUAGAACAUAACUGACGCUGAUGCGCGAAAGCGUGGGGAGCAAACAGGAUUAGAUACCCCAGUAGUC